CCCGCAACGAGCGCAACCCUUUUCCUUAUUUGCCAGCGAGUAAUGUCGGGAACUUUAAGGAUACUGCCAGUGACAAACUGGAGGAAGGCGGGGACGACGUCAAGUCAUCAUGGCCCUUACGGCCAGGGCUACACACGUGCUACAAUGGUCGGUACAAAGGGUUGCUACCUAGCGAUAGGAUGCUAAUCUCAAAAAGCCGAUCGUAGUCCGGAUUGGAGUCUGCAACUCGACUCCAUGAAGUCGGAAUCGCUAGUAAUCGCGGAUCAGAAUGCCGCGGUGAAUACGUU
rnacentral:rRNA from 1 species